rnacentral:lncRNA from 1 species
UCAAACACACACUCUUUCUUCUCUCCACAUGCUCCAUAACCAGACAUUUAUAACCACCAGCCUUACCAUCAACAACCUCACCACCAACAGCCACCAUCCGCCACCGUCACCUACUGACCAUCUGCCACCAUCACCUACGGACCACCAGGCACCACCAUAAUCAAUUGACAUCAGCAACCACCAACCGACAUCAGCAACCACCACCAUAUAAACUAUAUAAACCCACUAACAUCAGCAAUCAGCCAACCACCACAAAAAAUUGGGCAAAAUCAGCCUACCACCACUGUCACCGCCCCAUAUUAGAAACCCUUUAAGUAGAUCUGAUUCGUCUUGCCACCACCACUCAUCCCUAAACCCUAGCCGUUCUCGUCAGACCAUUCAGAUCUGAGCAGAAAACAUAAACCCUAGUCGCCGCCCUUUUUUCUUCAAAUACUAAACCCCCAUCGUCACCACGCGAUUUGCAGGUGGUGGUUUGAUUGCAGGUGGUUCGAUUUUCGGGUGGAGGUUUGAUUUGCAGGUGUUGCGGGGAUAGUGGUGGUGGUAUCCCUUUGCUUCGCUAAGUUUUGUGGUGAUGGUGACGUUUAGCGGCAGGCGGUGGUAGCUGCCAGAGCUGGCGGUGUAAAGUGGUGAUGGUAGCAAAAGACAGUGGAGUAUGUACUAGUUUGACAGAUGGGUCAAGUGUGAGAAUGAAGAAGCCUGUAGCGGCGAUGCAAGAUACCCGACCCGGAUCCAAACCCAUCUCGAAUAAACCCAAUCAAAGGUAGGUGAUGACGGUUUUUCAGUGUCGGUGCUUGGCGGAGGUAGAGUCUUGAACCGGUUUUGCUGGUUUUUUCAAUAUUGGUGCGGCCGACGGAGGAGGUAGGCGAUGACGGCUGGAUUGGAGUUGCGGUGGUGAGGUGAUGGUGUUUGAUAGUGGUGGUGGUAGUGGUGUUUGAUGGUGCUGGUGAUGACUGGUGGUUGUUACAAAAAGGGAGAAGGAGAGAGAUACAGAGUGAGAGUGGAGUGAUGAAGUUAAAGAAUGUUUUUUAAUGAUUAUAAUUAUAAACAAUUGAAUUCUUUUUGUAAAGUUACUAAAACACCCUUCUCAUUAUAUGUAAAAUUACCAAAUUGCCCUUAUUUU